rnacentral:rRNA from 1 species
AGAGUUUGAUCCUGGCUCAGAACGAACGCUGGCGGCGUGCCUAACACAUGCAAGUCGAACGGAUUUGAGGGGCUUGCUCCUCAAGUUAGUGGCGCACGGGUGAGUAACGCGUAGAUAAUCUGCCUGAUGAUCCGGGAUAACACUUCGAAAGGGGUGCUAAUACCGGAUAAGCCCACGGGGUCUUUGGACUUUGCGGGAAAAGGGGGGGACCUUCGGGCCUUCUGUCAUCAGAUGAGUCUGCGUACCAUUAGCUAGUUGGUAGGGUAAAGGCCUACCAAGGCUACGAUGGUUAGCUGGUUUGAGAGAAUGAUCAGCCACACUGGAACUGAGACACGGUCCAGACUCCUACGGGAGGCAGCAGUGGGGAAUUUUGCGCAAUGGGCGAAAGCCUGACGCAGCAACGCCGCGUGAGUGAUGAAGGCUUUCGGGUCGUAAAGCUCUGUCGAGGGGAAAGAAGUGUACGGGGGCUAAUAUCCUCUGUACUUGACGGUACCCCUAAAGGAAGCACCGGCUAACUCCGUGCCAGCAGCCGCGGUAAUACGGGGGGUGCAAGCGUUGUUCGGAAUUAUUGGGCGUAAAGAGCGUGUAGGCGGUUUGUUAAGUCUGAUGUGAAAGCCCUGGGCUCAACCCAGGAAGUGCAUUGGAAACUGGCGGACUUGAAUACGGGAGAGGGCAGUGGAAUUCCUAGUGUAGGAGUGAAAUCCGUAGAUAUUAGGAGGAGCACCGGUGGCGAAGGCGGCUGCCUGGACCGAUAUUGACGCUGAGACGCGAAAGCGUGGGUAGCAAACAGGAUUAGAUACCCUGGUAGUCCACGCCGUAAACGAUGAGAACUAGGUGUUGCGGGUAUUGACCCCUGCAGUGCCGCAGCUAACGCAUUAAGUUCUCCGCCUGGGAAGUACGGUCGCAAGACUAAAACUCAAAGGAAUUGACGG